ensembl:lncRNA CUTALP cutA divalent cation tolerance like, pseudogene
AAGUUAAAAAAAAUCUUAGUGUCUGCAAAACAGGAAGAAGUCUUUGCAGAGGAAAUUGAAUGCUGUCUGAUGCUACAAUUCAUAUGGAUCCUUUCCUGGAUUGAAGCCUGACUUUUAAAAAAGGUUUCAAUAAAUUGCUUAUACCUAUGAAGAGAUGCAAAAGAACCUUCAAAAUAAAGCAAAGGACUUGAAGAAAGAGAAGGAAGACAUGAAGAAGAGGAUGUCAUUUAGGUGAAGUUGUAUCAGCUCUGUGCGGUCACAUGGGUAUCUACAAAUCAAAGCACCCAUCAACCAGAUGCAUCUCUGAGAGUUAACAGCAGAAGGUGGCAUAAUAAAAGAAGUUCUCGGUAGUGAAAAAGGGCCAUGCUGGAUAAGGAGCUGGCUGCCUCUGUGAACAUCCUACUCAAGGCAUCUUCACUGCUGUACAUCCUUUUGAAAUCCCAGAGAUCUUCAGUCUCCCUGUGGAUUAAGGAGAUGUGCAGUAUUUAAAGUGGCUUCAGGAAGGCAUGGAAGAGGACUGAGUGGGGAAAGCUUUUUGUGCAUGCUGCUGGCUACCUCCAGCGGCUGCCUCCAGCCUCCAUCAGCUGCACUCUGGGGAAGAGGAGGCUGCCUUCUACCUCCCAGCAUCUCUGGAUUUCAUGUUCCUGUCAGCACAGAGGAGCUAAAUGGCCUGUAGAGG